rnacentral:rRNA from 1 species
UGAUGACGGUACCGUUUGUAAGCUCCGGCUAACUCCGUGCCAGCAGCCGCGGUAAUACGGGGGGAGCAAGCGUUGUUCGGAUUUACUGGGCGUAAAGGGCGCGUAGGCGGCCAGCACAAGUCAGUUGUGAAAUCUCCGNGCUUAACUCGGAAAGGUCAACUGAUACUGNGCGGCUAGAGUGCGGAAGGGGCAACUGGAAUUCUUGGUGUAGCGGUGAAAUGCGUAGAUAUCNAGAGGAACACCUGCGGCGAAGGCGGGUUGCUGGGCCGACACUGACGCUGAGGCGCGAAAGCNAGGGGAGCGAACGGGAUUAGAUACCCCGGUAGUCCUGGCCUUAAACGAUGNAUGCUUGGUGUCUGGGGUU